rnacentral:lncRNA from 1 species
AAGUACCGUUGCAAACUCCUUUUUAUUAGGCACCUGUAAUAAACAUGGAAGAAGACUUUCUGAAACAUGGGACCAUGGGAAAACCAUCCUUCAAAACCUGGAUAGUCACCAGUGGUAACUGCUUUAGACACACAAGUCUGCAGUUUUGUUUUCCAGGCAUUUUUUGCCUUUUUGUUUUAAUAGAAAUGGGAUGGCAAUUUUUUAUCAUAGCAAAAAAGCAUUUUUUUCUUAAAAUUGGAGGAAUAUUUUCCUAGUAUUCCAGCUUUCAUUUUCUUUUUCAUACUAGGUUUUAUGCAAAGACUUACCAGUGUGAAGUGCUGGAGUUGCAGGGACUGGUGCUUGCAGAAACAUGCAGAAUCCAAGCCAACUUGUAGAGAAUCCUUAAGUCCAUUCAGAGACCAAAGGGAGCACGCUGUUGCUGAUAAAGAGAGGAGGUUCAAAGACAAGGGGCUUCAUGGUGCUGUGAUUCUGUAUGAACACAAAGAGAGACAAGAAAUCACAGCAUUAGAAGAAGGAGGCAGCAAGGGUUCUCCCUCCUGCAACAAUUCUUCAUCCACAGCAGCUUCUGGAAGUGCUGUUUUGUGUCUCCCCUCAGCUUCCCAGAACUGUCCUACAGUUCAGACUGUCCUUAGCACAACAGGGUUGAGGAGCCUGUCCCAAGAAAGGAUUCCUGAUGGGAUAUUUCCUGUUCACAUUACUGUCUUUCUCAUGAGAAUCCACUGUCAGACCCCAUGCCUCCUUGUGGUCUCUGACAGAUGGUGGCAUCCAACUGGACCCUGACUGAGCAAAGUAAGGAGGAGUCAGUGACAUGAGACGAUACUGGUGGUGCUGGAGUGUGAGGCACAAUCCACAGCCAACACUCAUGUUACAAGAACUGCAACAAGAAAAAAAAAUACUUGUGUGAUUGCUUGUGGCCACUCCAAAUAAAAACAAUCAAGAAUGCA